rnacentral:miRNA from 1 species
UACUGGCUCGCCAAGUCCUAGU